ACGGGUGAGUAAUACAUCGGAACGUGCCCAAUCGUGGGGGAUAACGCAGCGAAAGCUGUGCUAAUACCGCAUACGAUCUACGGAUGAAAGCAGGGGAUCGCAAGACCUUGCGCGAAUGGAGCGGCCGAUGGCAGAUUAGGUAGUUGGUGAGGUAAAGGCUCACCAAGCCUUCGAUCUGUAGCUGGUCUGAGAGGACGACCAGCCACACUGGGACUGAGACACGGCCAAGACUCCUACGGGAGGCAGCAGUGGGGAAUUUUGGACAAUGGGCGAAAGCCUGAUCCAGCCAUGCCGCGUGCAGGAUGAAGGCCUUCGGGUUGUAAACUGCUUUUGUACGGAACGAAACGGCCUUUUCUAAUAAAGAGGGCUAAUGACGGUACCGUAAGAAUAAGCACCGGCUAACUACGUGCCAGCAGCCGCGGUAAUACGUAGGGUGCAAGCGUUAAUCGGAAUUACUGGGCGUAAAGCGUGCGCAGGCGGUUAUGUAAGACAGUUGUGAAAUCCCCGGGCUCAACCUGGGAACUGCAUCUGUGACUGCAUAGCUAGAGUACGGUAGAGGGGGAUGGAAUUCCGCGUGUAGCAG
rnacentral:rRNA from 1 species